AAGGAAUAUUGCUCAAUGGGAGAAAUCCUGAAGCAGCAACGCCGCGUGGAGGAUGAAGGGUCUAUGACUUGUAAACUCCUGUAAAGAAGGAAAAAAUUCCCAUUAGAUGGGAGAUGAUGGUACUUCUGGAGUAAGCCCCGGCUAACUACGUGCCAGCAGCCGCGGUAAUACGUAGGGGGCAAGCGUUGUCCGGAUUUACUGGGUGUAAUGGGUGCUCAGGCGGAUUUGUAAGUCAGGGGUGAAAUCUUACAGCUUAACUGUGAAACUGCCUGUGAUACUGCAAGCCUAGAGUAUGGAAGAGAGUGAUGGAAUAUCUGGUGUAGCAGUUAAAUGCGUAGAUAUCAGAUAUAACACCAAUGGCGAAGGCAGUCACUUGGUCCAUUACUGACGCUAAAGCACGAAAGCGUGGGUAGCAAACA
rnacentral:rRNA from 1 species